rnacentral:lncRNA from 1 species
UUUGGUUAGAAUUUGGUUAGGAUUUGGUUUAGGAUUUUUUUAGGAUUUAGGAUUUGAUUUAGGAUUUGGUUGGGAUUUGGUUUAGGAUUCAGAGUUUAGUUAGGAUUUGGUUUAGAUUUAGAGUUUGAUUAGGAUUUGAUUUAGAAUUUAGAGUUUAAUUAGGAUUUGAUUUAAGAUUUAGAGUUUGAUUAGAAUUUCAUUUAGAAUUUUGGAUUUUGGAUUUGGUUAGGAUUUGAUUUAGAUUUUGAUUUAGGAUUUAGGAUUUGAUUAGGAUUUGAUUUAAGAUUUCAGGUUUAGUUAGGUUUUGAUUUAGGAUUUAUUUAGGGUUUGGUUAGAGUUUGGUUUAGGAUUUGGUUAGGAUUUGGUUAAGAUUUGAUUUAAGAUUUAGGGUUUGAUUUAGGGUUUAGGAUUUUAUUAGGAUUUAUUUAAGAUUUAAGAUUUAAUUAGUUUUGGCCUAAAGUUUGAAUGAAGUCAAAUAGGAUUUUAACUAGGAUUAAAUUAAGAUUGAAUUGAGAUGUAUUUGAGAUGUAUUUGUAAUCAUUCUAAUAUUUCUUUAAGAUUUCGUAUUGUUUCUUUGAAAUUUCUUUGAGGUUUCUUUGAAUUUGAUUAAAGUUUUCUUAGCAUUAUUAUGGUCUAAUUAGAGUUUAGAUAGUAUUCUAUAAGAAUUAGGAUUUUGUUGUUACAAUUUUCAUUCUACCUUCCACAACCAGGUA